GCAGAGUCCUACUAAUGGUGAUCCUUCAAGUCCUGCAGCCCUAUGAAGCAAGCUGCAGCAGAUGUCAACACAUUCAGAUCAUCAGUUUAUCUUUACUGCAGCUUUAAACUUUUCACGAGGUAACGGUGUAUUUCCUUGCCCCAUAACAAAAACCAUGUUUGACCAACAUAGGAAAGCACAGAAUUUAAUGUUAGCACAGGAUUACAGAGUUAAAGUGAAGGGGAUUUUGUUUGUUUUUUUCAGACCUCUCCUCCUCCUGCCUCUGACUCCAGUGAUGCUGUCAACUCGAACACUGAUAACUGCACACGGCGAUCCUACAACCACAGGUCAAAGGUCAAAACAAUACCUCAC